UACGUAGGAUGCAAGCGUUGUCCGGAAUUAUUGGGCGUAAAGAGCGCGCAGGCGGUCUGCCAAGUCAGAUGUGAAAGAGGCCGGCUUAACCGGCAAGGGUCAUUUGAAACUGACAGACUAGAGUGCAGCAGAGGAUAGCGGAAUUCCCGGUGUAGUGGUGAAAUGCGUAGAUAUCGGGAGGAACACCAGUGGCGAAGGCGGCUAUCUGGGCUGCAAACUGACGCUGAGGCGCGAAGGCUAGGGUAGCAAACAGG
rnacentral:rRNA from 1 species